rnacentral:lncRNA from 1 species
GUAAAUUCUUUGAGGUCAGGGACUAUUUCAUCCUUAUCUAUAUAUCUACAUCAUUUCAUAUAGUGCCAAUACAGCAUCUGGCAUAACGUCCAAUUUACAGGAAAAUGUUAGUUGUCAUACUUUGUAGAUGUGGAAGUAAAAAGUUGAAAAGUUUGGGCAAUAUGCCUAGGUUUAUAAAAUUAACAUGUCUUCUUACUCUUGGUUGGACUGAAUAAAAGAGUUAUUAUGAUGCAAUGAAAGGAUUAUAAGACUUCCAUUCUAAUCUUAACUUUGUUACUUAACACCAGUAGGACUUUGGACAAGAGAUUUUGCCUUCCUCAAUUUCAGCCUCUUAAUCUAAAAGAGGAGGAUAUUGACAUGUCACAAAGGGAAAAAAUGAAUUUCUAAUGGUUGCAGAGGAUACCUGUCUUCCACUACUAAUCCUAAUUUCUUGGAGAUGGAUGACCAAUUGGGUCUCUAGUGGCUAUUCCAUGGAUUAUUUGCCUACAGAUCCCCUCAAAACUUCUGGACACUCCAAAACAAAUUGUUUCAUGCUUGGAUGUUUUAAAGAUGAACUUCCUGGAUAUUUUUGGAAUGAAGUAGCAUACUUUUGAAAGAACUUGGUUGUCAUUUCAAAUGGAAAUCUUUGAGUGAUGUCUGAGUUUUCCUCCUGGAAUAUGCUUGUGGUAAGGCUUGAAGUGCUACAUUUAUUUGAAGAAGAAAAAGCUUGCCACUGACCUUUCUUAAUCACAACUCUUUCAUAUUGCACAUGUUGCCAUAGUAGUAUAUCAUCUGCUUUGACUUUACAGUUUGGGGAUGAAAAUAAAUGGUCACUUUCCCUGAGUCA